UCACAACUAUAUCAAAAUUGAAGAGUUAACCCCAUUUUUAAUCCCAGUCGGAGAUGAUUUCGAUCAUCCAUUUCCUUUUAAGAAUCUAAUACCCCAAACCCUAGUCAUUUUUUAAAACUUCCGCCUCCAACACUCUCUCUCUAUCUCCCCUCUCCCUCUCUCUCUCCACAAAACCCCUCCAAGUCUUGAUCUCCCCCCUCUACUCUGAUCUAUCCGCGCUGCCUCCAACAACCAUGCCACCUUCAAUAGCCCUCUCCCGCUGUCGCCAUCACCGGCAAGAGACCGAACUAGCAACGCCAGCUAUGGCGCCGCCACUGCUCUUCUCUUUCCGCCACCAUCAACGCCAGCUCCGAGCCAAGUCCUGUCACGCCUUCGGCGCCCUCCUUCUCCGGCGAAGACCCUCCGUUCUCCCUUCCCUCCUCUCGCCGCUGCAGAGCCAUGCCAUUUGCACCAUCACCUGCUUUAUCGAACCCCACGAGGGUGUCAAGGGUUCGAUUCCAAUGCUUUACAUAUCAAUUGCAUAAUGAAUUUGUCUCCGGUGGAAAGGUGGAGCUGCAAUAACUCAAAGACAGCUACAACAACAAAGUAGCAAAGGAUCAAAGACAAAGUCAUCUCCAACCACUCAAGCCACAUCAGGCACUCAAGCCAGCAAGAAUCAAUCCAUAACAAGCACUCAAGCAACACAUUAGUGUAAUUCUCUUUCUGUAUUGAUCCUAAGUGUUGUUAAGAUAAUUUUUUAAGACUUCUGGUUCAUUGUUGUUAAGACAAGUAUUUUGAUAUUGUUAAGACAAGUAUUUUGAUGCCAAUUAUAAAUUGCAGAUUUUUAUGUUGGCAA